AUGGAGGUGGCCCUCGGCUCGGCCAAGUCGCUCCUCGGCAAGGUGUUGACGACGCUGUCCGACGGCCUGGUGGCGGCGUACGUGGACAGCCUCCAGCUGGGCCACAACUCGGAGCAGAUCAGGGACAAGCUACUGCACACGCAAGGCCUGCUGCACAACGCCCAGGGGAGCCACGCCGGCGGCGACAACCCCAACCCUGGCCUGCAGGGGUUGCUGGAGAAGCUGAGCAGGGACGCCGACCAGGCAGAGGACUUGCUGGAUGAGGUCCACUACUUUCAGAUCCACGACAAGCUCCACGGCACCCUCUACGCCACCACCCAAGAGGCCGGCCAUCAAGCUCUCCAUGCUGGUACUGCUCUUCGCCACACCCUAGGCAGCUUGGUCCACUUCUUUUCUUGCUCCCGUACACCCAAGACCAAGAGGGAUGGAGGUAGUGAUGCCGCUGCUGCUGUUACCAGCCGCAUCACCAAAAGGUCCAAAGCCAACUCUGCUACUGCUCAUGCUGAUGACAUGCUGCAUUUCGACCGAUUGUCCAUGUCCAGCAAAAUCAAGUCCCUGUUACUGGGCAUGGAGUCCCACUGUGACUCCGUCUCCAGUUUGCUCAUCGGCGGUAUCCCAAGAAACAGCACGGCAGUCGUCCUACAUCGGCCUCAGACUGCUUCCAUGAUUAUACAAGACACAUUGUAUGGCAGGACGGGCAUUUUUGAGGAAACUGUCAACCGUAUCACCACUGGUACGCAGACCGAGACUGUUUCUGUUCUUCCUAUAGUUGGUCCAGGGGGUAUUGGCAAGACAACUUUCGCCCAACAUCUGUAUAAUGAUGGCAGGACUGAAGAGCACUUCCGAGUCAGGGCCUGGGUAUGUGUAUCCACUGAUUUCGAUGUGCUUAAGCUCACCAGGGAGAUCCUUGCCUGCAUACCCACAAAGGAUGAAGAAGGAGGAAGCAGCAGUGUUGCAAAUGAAACAACCAAUUUAGAUCAUCUUCAGAGAUCCAUUGCGCGCCGUCUCAAGUCCAAGAGGUUUCUAAUUGUCUUGGAUGAUAUAUGGAAGUGUGACAGUGUGGACCAGUGGAAAACCCUGUUAGCUCCGUUCACAAAGGGGGAAACCAAAGGAAGCAUGCUACUUGUCACAACCCGAUUCCCAAAUCUGGCAAAAAUGGUGGGAACGGUUGAUUCACUAGAACUGGCAGGUUUGGAGCCUAAUGACUUCUUCACAUUCUUUGAAGCAUGUAUAUUUAAUGGUGAAGAAGACAAACCUGACCAUUACGAAGAUGAGUUUGAUGGUAUUGCACGAAAAAUUGCAAACAAGCUAAAGGGUUCCCCAUUGGCAGCCAAAACAGUUGGUAGACUAUUGCAUAAGCACCUUUCUCAGGAACACUGGAAUGGAGUUCUUGAAAAGCAUCAGUGGCUAAAGCAGCAAAGAAGUGAUGACAUCAUGCCAUCUUUAAAAAUUAGCUACGAUUGCCUCCCUUUUCAUCUGAAGAAAUGCUUUUCCUAUUGUGGCCUUUUCCCUGAAGAUUAUAGGUUUACUUCUUCAGAAAUCAAUCAUUUCUGGGAUGCAAUGGGCAUCAUAGACUCUAAUCACCAAGCCGGCAGGGAUUGCUUGGAAGAACUAGUGGACAAUGGUUUUCUCAUGAAGGUAUUCGACUGGGCUGAUCGAUCCUCCUAUGUAAUGCACGAUUUAAUGCAUGAGCUAUCUAAGAGUGUUUCUGCACAAGAAUGCCUCAGUAUAAGUGGCUUAGAUUUCAGAGCUAAUGCCAUCCCACAAUCGGUACGACACUUAUCUAUCAACAUAGAAGGCAAAUAUGAUGCAAAUUUUGAGGAAGAAAUGUGUAAACUAAGGGAGAGGAUAGACAUUGCUAAUUUGCGGACUUUGAUGAUUUUUAGAGGAUAUGAAGAAAGGAUCGCCAAGAUUUUGAAAGAUAGCCUCAAGGAAAUAAAUAGUCUGUGUGUCCUAUUUAUAGCAGUGAACAAUCCAGAAUCUUUUCCACAUAGAUUUUCAAAACUUAUCCACCUCCAGUACCUCAAAAUUAGUUCAUCUCACAAUGACAGGGAAAUGAGGUUACCUAGUACACUAUCAAGAUUUUAUCACUUGAAGUUCUUGGACCUAGAUGGUUGGAAUGGUCAUUCUGAUUUGCCUGAAGACUUUAGCCACCUUGAGAAUUUACAUGCUUUCCAUGCUACAAGUGAACUCCACUCCAAUAUUCGCAAUGUCGGAAAGAUGAAGCAUCUGCAGGAGCUAAAAGAAUUCCAUGUCAAGAAUGGGAGCAUGGGAUUUGAGCUGUCAGAACUUGGGGCAUUGACAGAGCUUCAAGGAGGACUGAUUAUACGUGGUCUUGAACACGUGGCAAACAAGGAGGAAGCUACUGCAGCCAAGCUGAAGUUGAAAAAGAAUCUGAAGGAGUUGGAAUUACUCUGGGGCAGAGAUGGACCAACUACAGAUGCUGAUAUCCUUGAUGCUCUUCAACCACACUCGAAUCUUAGAGCACUUACAAUUGCAAAUCAUGGUGGUACCGUUGGUCCUAGUUGGUUGUGUCUUGACAUCUGGUUAGCAAGUUUAGGGACUCUCACUCUAGAAGGCGUAUCUUGGAGCACCCUCCCACCUUUUGCGAAGCUACCAAAUCUCAAGCGACUCAAAUUGAAGACAAUUUCUAGAAUGCAGCAGUUUGGGCUUCGAUGUGGUGGCGCUCCAGGGAAAUGUUCUAUGCGCUUGAACAAAGUCGAGUUUUAUGAGAUGCCGGAACUUGCUGAAUGGGCUGUGGAACCUAAUUGCCAUUCCUUAACAAGUAUUGAAGAAAUCAUAUGCAUCGAUUGUCCCAAUGUCUGUGUGAUGCCCUUCUCGGAGGUUUCUUGCACCAAUUUGCGCAGACUUCAAGUUUCCGGGUGCCCAAAGAUGUCUCUGCCCUCCAUGCCUCACACCUCCACACUGACAGAUUUGGAUGUUAAAAGAGGUGAUUCAGAAACGUUGUUGUCUUAUGAUGGAAAACUAUUGGUUGUUGGAGGGUAUGGCGGUGCUUUGGCCUACCACAAUAUGGAUAAACUAGAAGAUAUGGCUAUUGAAAAUGUAUCGUGCAUAUCAAUGCAGUUCCCAUCAUCCAGCUCACUGCAGAAACUUAGCUUUAGAGACUGCAAGGGCCUGGUUCUUGUGCCUGUGGAGAAUGGAGGAGAAAUUCAGGAGGACAACUCAUUGCUCCAAUCAAUAACAAUAUGGGGAUGUGGCGAAUUGUUCUUUCGGUGGCCCAUGGCCACGGGAGAAUCAGAGACCAUUUACCCUUUCCCUGCUCCCCUGAGGAAACUUGAUGUUUGGGGCGAGCAAAGCAUGAAGUCGAUGGCUCUGCUCUCAAACCUCACGUCUCUCACCAGUCUAAGCCUAAUAAGUUGCGGUAAAUUAACGGUGGAUGGGUUCAAUCCUCUCAUCACAGUCAACCUCAAAGAAUUGCAAGUUACCAGCAGCAGCACCUUAGCAGCAGAUCUGCUCUCAGAGGUGGCAAGGACCAAAUUAUUGCCUGCAGGUUACAUGUCUAGAUUGGAGAAGCUCAUUGUGGAUAACAUCUGUGGAUUGCUUGUUGCUCCUAUUUGCAGCCUCCUCGCCCCGAGCCUCCACACACUUGAAUUCCAGUAUGAUGGGAGGGUGAAAAGCUUGACGGAGGAGCAAGAGAAAGCGCUGCAGCUCCUCACCUCCCUCGAGAAACUACAUUUUCUCUGGUGCUAUGGUCUGCAGUCCCUUCCUCAAGGGUUACAUCGCCUUUCUUCUCUCAAGGAGUUACAUGUCGUUGGGUGUCUGAAAAUCCAGUCGAUGCCCAAGGAGGGCCUCCCGGUUUCGCUGCGAAAACUAGAGAUGAAUUGGCGCAGCGCUGAGAUAGACGAGCAGAUUGAGAAAAUCAAAAGAACCAACCCACAUUUAUCCGUCGAAGAAUAA
rnacentral:rRNA from 1 species